ACAACGCGACCCCAGGU
rnacentral:rRNA from 1 species